AUGCCGACGCCUCCGACUCCGGCGACGAGGCCUGCACCGACGCUGCCGGACGAGCUUAUCGAGGAGGUCUUCCUCCGCCUCCCGCCGGACGAGCCCUCGAGCCUCAUGCGUGCCUCCCUGGCCAGCAAUUUUUGGCUCGGCCUCCUCACCGGCACUAGCUUCUCCGUUCGCUACCGAGAGUUCCAUGAUACUCCCCCCAUGCUUGGCUUCUUUUAUUCUUGGCUCCACGCCGACCGCCCCCACGACGAAGGAGAACGCCCCGUCCAGCGCUUUGCCUUCACCACAAAAUUCGGCGCGCGCAUUCCCGAGGUCCAGGAAUGGGACGACUAUGAAGCGUUGGACUGCCGCCAUGGCCGCGUUCUCUUUGAAAACCCCUUUGGUUGCCCCGCCCCGCUGUUCGUUUGGGACCCCAUGACAGGCUGCACGAGAUACCUGGAGAAGCCCGAUGGAUGCUGGGGCGAUGGGGCCACGGUGGUCUGUGCUGUGAGCGGCUGUGACCACCGCUUGUGUGACGGAGGGCCCGUCCGUGUGGUCUUUUUCACGACCGGUGACGGUGAUGGUUGUGUUGCACACGUGUCCGUCGCGUUGCUGGAGAUGGAUGAUGCAUGGAGCGAGAGCUCUGAUCUUGAUCUUGAGCUUGAGUGGACCCUGAGCCCUGGUCUUGAACUUGAAGCUAGGCAUGCAUUCAUUCCUGAAAUAAUGCCCCCUGUCCUCAUCAAAGACGCACUCCACUUCAUGCUUUCCAUUGUUGAUGGUGUUCGUGACAUGGCUAUUCUCAAGUACGACAUGGCCUCUGAUGGCUUGUCAUUGAUUGAUCUACCGGACGUGCGCUCUAAUGGCUUACCACUCAAAGACCAUUCCUUUAUCCCCAUGGCCAUGGGGGAUGGCAAUUUGGGGUUUGCACAAGUGGACGGGUUAACCCUCAACCUAUGGUCAGGCUCAAUCCAGACGGGUGCCGAGGGCCUUGCGUCAUGGACUCAGCAUAGAGUUGUCGAUCUUCAGAACCUUCUCCCUAUUCAGAAUCCCAAGGAAAGUCUUAGGCUGAUUGGAUCCGUGGAAGGCAGUGAUAUCAUUUUCGUGACUACAGACCUUGGCAUCUACCAGAUUAGUCUCAAGUCCCUCAUAUGGAAGAAGCUAUGGAAGAGCGAGAAGUUCAGUGCUUUGAUUCCGUACAUGAGUUUCUACAAUCCACAAGAGAGGAUCAACCCCUACGAUGAAGCUCAUUGA
rnacentral:rRNA from 1 species